rnacentral:rRNA from 1 species
AACGAACGCUGGCGGCAGGCUUAACACAUGCAAGUCGAGCGCCCCGCAAGGGGAGCGGCAGACGGGUGAGUAACGCGUGGGAACGUACCCUUUGCUACGGAAUAGCUCCGGGAAACUGGAAUUAAUACCGUAUGUGCCCUACGGGGGAAAGAUUUAUCGGCAAAGGAUCGGCCCGCGUUGGAUUAGCUAGUUGGUGGGGUAAUGGCCUACCAAGGCGACGAUCCAUAGCUGGUCUUAGAGGAUGAUCAGCCACAUUGGGACUGAGACACGGCCCAAACUCCUACGGGAGGCAGCAGUGGGGAAUAUUGGACAAUGGGCGCAAGCCUGAUCCAGCCAUGCCGCGUGAGUGAUGAAGGCCUUAGGGUUGUAAAGCUCUUUCACCGGAGAAGAUAAUGACGGUAUCCGGAGAAGAAGCCCCGGCUAACUUCGUGCCAGCCGCCGCCGUAAACA